UUUUUAGUUAAGGUAAAAAAAAACUAGAAUAUUUUUCUCUCAACAGCAUAUCACUUUUUCCCCACACUUUCUGUAAAUAAUAACAAAUUUCUAUAAAUAAUAAAUAAUAAUUUCUAGGUAUAAUUUAAUUUACAUAGUGAAACAAGCCAUUCUUAGGUAUAUUCCUUAGUUCUGUCUUCGAAAGUCUGCAUCCUGUUAGCAGCUGGCGUAGUUGGUGGGAUACUUAGCAGAAGGAUUGUAUGUGUGUCCUACUGUUUCACUGUCCUCCUCCAGGUCCAAUGCCAUCAAUCACUUUUUCUGUAAUAAAUCCCUAGGGCUUGGUCUUUCAUGCUACAACAUUUAUAUCAGCACAGCAGUCCCUGCCUUUGCAGAGUUUGAGUGCUGCAUUCAUUGCCAUAUUUGGUCAUCAUGUUCUCCUGGACAUAUAUCCUGGUUGCUAUCAAGAGGAUGUCCUCAGUGGGGAGAAAAGAAUUGUCUAUUUGUGUCUCCCACCUGAAAACUAGCACCAUUUUUCAUACAGCCCUCUUUUAUGUGUACUUACAGCCU
rnacentral:lncRNA from 10 species